AGCCCGUGGAGACUGCUCCAUCCCCGGCUCACACACUCCUCCACACGGCUCACACUGCUGAGGAGGCUGGACAGAGAGGGGACCCCGCUGGAGGACUUCGAGCAUGAAUCUACCAUCAAGGCAUCGAUCCACACCUUUAAACCAACCCAGAGGAAAACAAACGGAGAGCGCUUUUAACACCACAUCUGUUUGUUUGUUUGUUCCAUCGUUAGAAGCGAUGCACCUAGAAAUCACUCUAUAAACUGUCACAUGUUGGUGAAAUCUCAGCGCUGCUGGAUCCUUGGUUUUUUAUCUCUCUCUCUGAGCUGAUUUUUUUAUUUUUAUUUGGAACACCGCAGUGACCGAGCUUUUCCAGACGUUUUUUUUAAAAAAAAUUUUCUCCCAUAAAGACUUUACACUUGCAGUCAUGAUCCGGAGCGCUCGGAGUGACAGAGAGGGGAGAAGAGCCAGACUGUGCCCGGAGAUGCUCACCCUGUCCGGGCUGCUGCUCUGGCUGCUGCUGCUGGAUGUCGGCGGAGCUCAAGUUGAUGAUGACUUCAUUGGUCUGGGUGAAUUGCCAGAAACAUUUCCUUCGGAUCCCCCAGAGCCACUUCCAGUGUUUUUGAUGGAACCGGAGGAAGCCUACAUAGUCAAGAAUAAGCCAGUCAACCUGUACUGCAAAGCCACACCUGCCACUCAGAUCUACUUCAAGUGCAACAGUGAAUGGGUUCACCAGAAGGAGCACACCGUGGAAGAGAGGGUCGACGAGAACUCUGGGCUCGUGGUGAGAGAGGCCAGCAUUGAAAUCACUCGUCAGCAGGUGGAGGAGCUGUUUGGGCCGGAGGACUUCUGGUGUCAGUGUGUGGCCUGGAGCUCCGCUGGGACCACCAAGAGCCGUAAAGCUCAUGUUCGCAUUGCCUAUUUGAGGAAGACUUUUGACCAAGAACCUCUGGGAAAGGAGGUUUCACUCGAACAGGAAGUGUUGCUGCAGUGUCGCCCACCUGAAGGCAUCCCAGCUGCUGAGGUGGAGUGGCUGAAAAAUGAGGAAGUUAUCGAUCCUGCUGAUGACAGAAACUUCUACAUCACCAUCGACCACAACCUGAUUAUCAAACAGGCCCGUCUCUCAGACACUGCCAACUAUACCUGUGUGGCUAAAAACAUCGUGGCAAAAAGAAGAAGCACAACCGCCACAGUCAUCGUAUACGUGAAUGGUGGAUGGUCAACCUGGACAGAGUGGUCAGUGUGUAACAGCCGCUGCGGCCGUGGUUACCAAAAGCGCACACGCAGCUGCACCAACCCGGCGCCUCUCAAUGGCGGAGCCAUCUGCGAAGGUCAAGGCAUCCAGAAGCUACCAUGUAAUCCUCUCUGCCCAGUGGAUGGCCUAUGGACAGAGUGGAGUAAGUGGUCCACCUGUGGGACAGAGUGCACCCACUGGAGGAGGAGAGAAUGCAGCGCCCCAGCUCCUAAAAAUGGGGGAAAGGACUGUGAGGGCCUGGUGCUGCAGUCCAAGAACUGCACCGAUGGGCUGUGCAUGCAGAUGGCCCCCAGCACGGAUGAUGUGGCUCUCUAUGUGGGUAUUGUCAUCGCCGUGAUCAUGUGUCUGGUUAUCUCCCUGGCCGUGGCGCUAUUCGUCUACAGGAAAAACCACAGAGACUUUAACUCUGACAUCAUCGACUCCUCCGCCCUCAAUGGAGGCUUUCAACCAGUCAGCAUCAAGACAGCACGCAAAGCGGAUCUCCUCACAGCACCCCCUGAUCUGACCUCAGCAGCUGCAAUGUACCGCGGCCCCGUUUACGCCCUUCACGACGUGGCUGACAAAAUCCCCAUGACCAACUCCCCUCUGCUGGACCCGCUUCCAAACUUGAAGAUUAAGGUGUACAACUCCUCAGGUUUGGUGACCCCACAGGAUGACCUGGGAGGGGAAUUAUCCUCUAAGCUGUCACCUAAACUGCCGCACUGCCUGCUGGAUCACAGUGACGGCACCAUGGGCCGCCGCACACAGACCCAGACACUGCUCCGUGGCAGGGACCCAUCCUGCACCGCUCUGGGCUCCUUCAGCUCCCAGGGGGGCCACCUCAUUGUACCCAACUCAGGUAACAUUUACUCAGGAUACUCUGUGAUGCAGAGUCCUCUCACAUUUCCAACAUUUUCUUCCUUCAAGUGUGGUACCUGUAAAAUGUUUGUGUGUGUGUGUGCGCAGCCUCCUCAUCGUGUUACACUGGCAGGUGGGAGAGCAGCGAUCGCAUUGAUAUUUGAUCCGUUUGUGUGUUUGAGUAAUGAAAUAUUUUGUGUCACUGGCUACAAAUAUUCCUAUGCUAGCCUUGUGAUGUUGGCUCAACGUUGGCUCAUUACACCUGGUGUCUUCUCUCAUUGGCAGGAUUCUCAGAACAUAGACACGUCUCUGUUGGACCCUGCCAGCAACAUCACGUCACUCGUGGGGCCAAACGCCUUCCGUAUCCCCGUCUCCAUCCGACAGAAGUUGUGUGGCAGCCUGGAUGCUCCGCAGACCAGAGGCAAUGACUGGAGGAUGUUAGCCCACAAACUGAACCUUGACAGGUAUCUGAACUACUUUGCUACCAAAUCCAGCCCUACAGGAGUGAUCCUAGACCUGUGGGAGGCUCAGCAUUUUCCUGACGGCAACCUCAGCCGCCUUGCCCAAGUGUUGGAGGAGAUGGGACGCCACGACGGCCUUCUUCCUGCCAUGAUGGAGCACUGACAUCUAACCCUCCAGGGGAUGUGACAUUCCAGGGAGGAAGAAGACUCCAAAUGGAUCGGAAAAUGGAGGCUCCUAUAAGCAGGAGAGUGGUGUGGCAUCUCAGUGACAAACACACACACACACACACACACUCAAAGAUGUGAGAUGACGGGAAGAGCCAUGACCCAGUUAGACACCGGCAACAAAUGGUGUAAAAACAACCUUGUGGAGUAAACAACAUUCCCUGGCUGUUCCCUUUUCUCUCAACACACGUCAAACAUUGACUUCAGAUUUUUUGGCUUGUUUUGAUGGACUCUCGGUAUAACAGGAGACAAAUGUCAGAGGUCCGAAAAAAAGUCAAAAGAUGAAGAUUUUGUCAGCGGGACCAUCUCUCAGGCUUCUAAACAGUUUCCAUAGCAACUCCCCAUGGACAAGGAUGUACUUUCUGAUAAGAUGGUAUUUAAUUUCCAGCUUAUUUAUGCAUAUCUGAUAUCGUAUUUCAUGCUCUCUGUUGCUGAACACUUUGCAGUGUAAAGGUUUGUGUUCCUUUUAUUAUGUUGAACUGUAUCACAGCACCACCUGGUGGCCUUCUGGUGCUAGAACAACUCAUUCUGUCUGCCACAUUUAGAAAAAAUCAACAAUCAAGUUAGAAUUUUAGUGUCAUUGCUGUUGAUGACAAUUUUAUAUUUGUGUUAUUGAAAUUAUUGAUGCUGUUAGGUGCAUUUCUUUUAUAUUGUUUUUUUUUUCUUUUUUAAAGGGUUAUUAAUUAUUUUUAACAUUCUGAAUUGUUGAUCAUGUUUCUUUAAUCUGUGACUUUGUAUUUCUUGGCAACUUACAUUUCUACGAUUUAUAGAGCAGUCAAAACAUUUCCCAAAACAUGCAGAUGACUUAACAUUCUGUUUAAAGAUGAUAUUACUCAUGCUAACUGUGCCAGGCAGACGAGGACACUUUAGAACAAGAUAUUUAAAAUAUAUUUUUAUAAAAAGAAACAAGUGCAAGAGAAAGCAACUGCUUUUUACCAAAUAAUUCACACGCAUACGAUGUUUUGAGGGUGAAUUCACGACAGAAAGGGUUCAUUUCCCAUUAGGAUCACUGAGAUUGUAACUCAGUGUUUCUGAUAAUGUUCAGGAUGUUUGUAGACUUAUAACAGCAGAAUGUGCGACUUUUCAAGUGUUCUUUGUUGGCCAUUAAACUUGAUUCAGUUUUCUAAGUUGUUAGAGUUCUUGUAAAGCUGUCUAUGCAAACUGUGCAUCCUUUGAAAACAAUCUUUUCACACUCGGCAAAUUCUCUAUGGUUCUUCUUCUGCUUUCUUAUUGUUGUGUAUAGUGAGAAUGUAGCCUGUCUGUUUCUGGCACUCAGCAUCUAUCCGUCAAGGUAUUGUACAAAGUGUAAGAAAGAUUUUUUUUUUUUUAAUUAUUAUUAUUAAUAAUAAUAAAUUAUAUUUAUAUGCAACA
ensembl:lncRNA netrin receptor UNC5C-like